rnacentral:misc_RNA from 1 species
AACUCUCUUUCUACUACUCGUGGGUAGUAGAAGACUUGUCGGUUGUGCAGCAGUGCACUCUGAUUAAAAGGAGCAAGUCUGGAUCAGGCUGGUGGCCUGGGACACUGUGUGCUAGAGACGUCGCUUCGGCUGACUGUCUUCUCACAGUGCGUCCUUGGCUACUCAAGCUGGUCUGCUUCGGGCUUUUCAGUGGUUGUACCCUGCGUAUUACUACAAUCCCCCCCU